CCUACGGGUGGCAGCAGUGGGGAAUAUUGCACAAUGGGGGAAACCCUGAUGCAGCGACGCCGCGUGAGCGAAGAAGUAUUUCGGUAUGUAAAGCUCUAUCAGUAGGGAAGAAAAUGACGGUACCUGACUAAGAAGCCACGGCUAACCACGUGCCAGCAGCCGCGGUAAUACGUAGGGGGCAAGCGUUGUCCGGAUUUACUGGGUGUAAAGGGGUCGUAGGCGGCAGCACAAGUCUGGUGUGAAAUGCCGGGGCUUAACCCCGGCACUGCUUUGGAAACUGUGCAGCUAGAGUGCAGGAGAGGUAAGUGGAAUGCCUGGUGUAGCGGUGAAAUGCGUAGAUAUCAGGAGGAACACCAGUGGCGAAGGCGGCUUACUGGACUGUAACUGACGUUGAGGCUCGAAAGCGUGGGGAGCAAACGGGAUUAGAUACCCGGGUAGUC
rnacentral:rRNA from 1 species